GAUGAAGAACGUAGCGAAAUGCGAUAAGUAAUGUGAAUUGCAGAAUUCAGUGAAUCAUCGAAUCUUUGAAUGCACAUUGCGCCCGCCAGUAUUCUGGCGGGCAUCCCUGUUCGAGCGUCAUUUCAACCAUCAAGCCCCAGGCUUGUGUUGGGGACCUGCGGCUGCCGCAGGCCCUGAAAACCAGUGGCGGGCUCGCUGUCACACCGGGCGUAGUAGAUUUUAUCUCGCUCAGGGCGUGCUGCGGGUUCCGGCCGUUAAAAAGCCUUUUUUACCCAAGGUUGACCUCGGAUCAGGUAGGAAGACCCGCUGAACUUAAGCAUAUCAAUAAGCGGAGGA
rnacentral:misc_RNA from 1 species